CCUACGGGUGGCUGCAGUGAGGAAUAUUGGUCAAUGGGCGUAAGCCUGAACCAGCCAAGUCGCGUGAGGGAUGAAGGUUCUAUGGAUCGUAAACCUCUUUUAUAAGGGAAUAAAGUGUGGGACGUGUCCUGUUUUGUAUGUACCUUAUGAAUAAGGAUCGGCUAACUCCGUGCCAGCAGCCGCGGUAAUACGGAGGAUCCGAGCGUGAUCCGGAUUUAGUGGGUUUAAAGGGUGCGUAGGCGGACUUGUAAGUCAGCGGUGAAAGUCUGUGGCUCAACCAUAGAUGUGCCGUUGAAACUGGGAGGCUUGAGUAUGGUUGAGGCAGGCGGAAUUCGUGGUGUAGCGGUGAAAUGCUUAGAUAUCACGCAGAACCCCGAUUGCGAAGGCAGCCUGCCAAGCCGUGACUGACGCUGAUGCACGAAAGCGUGGGGAUCAAACAGGAUUAGAUACCCGUGUAGUC
rnacentral:rRNA from 1 species